rnacentral:rRNA from 1 species
AGCAUAAUCAUUUGCCUCCUAAUUAGAGGCUGGAAUGAAUGGACACACGAAAUCUUUACUGUCUCAUAAGUUUUAAUAAAAGUUUUUCUCUGAGUGAAGAAACUCAGAUUAAUUUGAAAGACAAGAAGACCCUAAUGAGCUUUAACUCUAUAAAAUUCCUCCAUGAAAUUUAAAUUAUCUAAAAAAUUUUAUAGAGUUUUUGUUGGGGCGACAAAAGAAACACAACUACUUCUUUACAUUAACUUAGAGCUAUAACUCUCCAUAAUUGACCUAAUUAUAAUUAAUCAAUAGCACUAGCUACCAUAGGGAUAACAGACUAAUUUUUCUCCAGAGCUCAAAUUUACAGAAAAGAUUGGCACCUCGAUGUUGGCUUAGAGGCCCCUUGUGAUGCAGCAGUCACAAAAGGUGGGUUUGUUCAACCCUUAAUA